rnacentral:rRNA from 1 species
UCGAACGAAGAGCGAUGGAAGCUUGCUUCUAUUAAUCUUAGUGGCGUACGGGUGAGUAACGCGUAAUCAACCUGCCCUUCAGAGGGGGACAACAGUUGGAAACGACUGCUAAUACCGCAUACGAUUCAAUCCCGGCAUCGGGACUGGAUGAAAGGUGGCCUCUAUUUAUAAGCUAUCACUGAAGGAGGGGAUUGCGUCUGAUUAGCUAGUUGGAGGGGUAACGGCCCACCAAGGCGAUGAUCAGUAGCCGGUCUGAGAGGAUGAACGGCCACAUUGGGACUGAGACACGGCCCAGACUCCUACGGGAGGCAGCAGUGGGGAAUCUUCCGCAAUGGACGAAAGUCUGACGGAGCAACGCCGCGUGAGUGAAGAAGGCCUUCGGGUUGUAAAGCUCUGUUAUUCGGGAAGAACGAUUCGUUUGUAAAUAAUGAACGGAAGUGACGGUACCGAAAGAGAAAGCCACGGCUAACUACGCGCCAGCAGCCGCGGUAAUACGUAGGUGGCAAGCGUUGUCCGGAAUUAUUGGGCGUAAAGAGCGCGUAGGCGGUAUGAUAAGUCUGUCUUAGAAGUGCGGGGCUUAACCCCGUGAGGGGACAGAGACUGUCAUACUAGAGUCUCGGAGAGGAAAGCGGAAUUCCUAGUGUAGCGGUGAAAUGCGUAGAGAUUAGGAAGAACACCGGUGGCGAAGGCGGCUUUCUGG